CCUACGGGUGGCAGCAGUGAGGGAUAUUGGUCAAUGGGGGAAACCCUGAACCAGCAACGCCGCGUGAGGGAAGACGGUUUUCGGAUUGUAAACCUCUGUUCUUUGUGAAGAUAAUGACGGUAGCCGAGGAGGCAGCUCAGGCUAACUACGUGCCAGCAGCCGAGGGAAUACGGAGGGAGCCAGCGUUGUCCGGAUUUACUGGGUGUAAAGGGUGCGUAGGCGGGUUUGCAAGUCAGAAGUGAAAUCCAUGGGCUUAACCCAUGAACUGCAGUUGAAACUGGAGAUCUUGAGUGGAGUAGAGGUAGGCGGAAUUCCCGGUGUAGCGGUGAAAUGCGUAGAGAUCGGGAGGAACACCAGUGGCGAAGGCGGCCUACUGGGCUCUAACUGACGCUGAGGCACGAAAGCGUGGGUAGCAAACAGGAUUAGAUACCCGUGUAGUC
rnacentral:rRNA from 1 species